AGAGUUUGAUCCUGGCUCAGGAUGAACGCUGGCGGCGUGCUUAACACAUGCAAGUCGAGCGAAGCACCUUGACGGAUUUCUUCGGAUUGAAGCCUUGGUGACUGAGCGGCGGACGGGUGAGUAACGCGUGGGUAACCUGCCUCAUACAGGGGGAUAACAGUUAGAAAUGACUGCUAAUACCGCAUAAGACCACAGAGCCGCAUGGCUCAGUGGGAAAAACUCCGGUGGUAUGAGAUGGACCCGCGUCUGAUUAGGUAGUUGGUGGGGUAACGGCCUACCAAGCCGACGAUCAGUAGCCGACCUGAGAGGGUGACCGGCCACAUUGGGACUGAGACACGGCCCAAACUCCUACGGGAGGCAGCAGUGGGGAAUAUUGCACAAUGGGGGAAACCCUGAUGCAGCGACGCCGCGUGAGUGAAGAAGUAUUUCGGUAUGUAAAGCUCUAUCAGCAGGGAAGAAAAUGACGGUACCUGACUAAGAAGCCCCGGCUAACUACGUGCCAGCAGCCGCGGUAAUACGUAGGGGGCAAGCGUUAUCCGGAAUUACUGGGUGUAAAGGGAGCGUAGGCGGCAUGGUAAGCCAGAUGUGAAAGCCUUGGGCUUAACCCGAGGAUUGCAUUUGGAACUAUCAAGCUAGAGUACAGGAGAGGAAAGCGGAAUUCCUAGUGUAGCGGUGAAAUGCGUAGAUAUUAGGAAGAACACCAGUGGCGAAGGCGGCUUACUGGACGGUAACUGACGUUGAGGCUCGAAAGCGUGGGGAGCAAACAGGAUUAGAUACCCUGGUAGUCCACGCCGUAAACGAUGAGUGCUAGGUGUCGGGGAGGAAUCCUCGGUGCCGCAGCUAACGCAAUAAGCACUCCACCUGGGGAGUACGACCGCAAGGUUGAAACUCAAAGGAAUUGACGGGGGCCCGCACAAGCGGUGGAGCAUGUGGUUUAAUUCGAAGCAACGCGAAGAACCUUACCAAGGCUUGACAUCCCGAUGACCGCUCUAGAGAUAGAGCUUCUCUUCGGAGCAUCGGUGACAGGUGGUGCAUGGUUGUCGUCAGCUCGUGUCGUGAGAUGUUGGGUUAAGUCCCGCAACGAGCGCAACCC
rnacentral:rRNA from 1 species